AUACGGAGGAUCCGAGCGUUAUCCGGAUUUAUUGGGUUUAAAGGGAGCGUAGGUGGAUUGUUAAGUCAGUUGUGAAAGUUUGCGGCUCAACCGUAAAAUUGCAGAUGAAACUGGCAGUCUUGAGUACAGUAGAGGUGGGCGGAAUUCGAGGGGUAGCGGAGAAAUGCUUAGAUAUCACGAAGAACUCCGAUUGCGAAGGCAGCUCACUAGACUGUUACUGACACUGAUGCUCGAAAGUGUGGGUAUCAAACAGGAUUAGAUACCCUGGUAGUCCACACAGUAAACGAUGAAUAUUCGCUGUUUGCGAUAUACAGUAAGCGGCCAAGCGAAAGCAUUAAGUAUUCCACCUGGGGAGUACGCCGGCAACGGUGAAACUCAAAGGAAUUGACGGGG
rnacentral:rRNA from 1 species